UGGGUUUAAAGGGUCCGUAGGCGGGUGCGUAAGUCAGUGGUGAAAGUCUGCAGCUUAACGAAGAACUGCCAUUGAUACUGCACACCUUGAGUAAUUAUGAAGUGGUUAGAAUAUGUAGUGUAGCGGUGAAAUGCAUAGAUAUUACAUAGAAUACCGAUUGCGAAGGCAGAUCACUAAUAAUUUACUGACGCUGAUGGACGAAAGCGUAGGUAGCGAACAGGAUUAGAUACCCUGGUAGUCUACGCCGUAAACGAUGGUUACUAGCUGUUUGGUCUAAUUGAGGGCUGAGUGGCUAAGCGAAAGUGAUAAGUAACCCACCUGGGGAGUACGUUCGCAAGAAUGAAACUCAAAGGAAUUGACGGGGGCCCGCACAAGCGGUGGAGCAUGUGGUUUAAUUCGAUGAUACGCGAGGAACCUUACCA
rnacentral:rRNA from 1 species